rnacentral:rRNA from 1 species
UACUUUCAGCAGUGAGGAAGGCGGAGUCGUUAAUAGCGGCCUCGUUGACGUUAGCUGCAGAAGAAGCACCGGCUAACUCCGUGCCAGCAGCCGCGGUAAUACGGAGGGUGCGAGCGUUAAUCGGAAUUACUGGGCGUAAAAGCGCAUGCAGGUGGUUUGUUAAGUCAGAUGUGAAAGCCGGGCUCAACCUCGGAAUUGCAUUUGAAACUGGCAGACUAGAGUACUGUAGAGGGGGUAGAAUUUCAGGUGUAGCGGUGAAAAUGCGUAGAGAUCUGAAGGAAUACCGGUGGCGAAGGCGGCCCCCUGGACAGAUACUGACACUCAGAUGCGAAAGCGUGGGGAGCAAACAGGAUUAGAUACCCUGGUAG